rnacentral:rRNA from 1 species
AUUGAACGCUGGCGGAAUGCUUUACACAUGCAAGUCGAACGGCAGCACGGGGCAACCUGGUGGCGAGUGGCGAACGGGUGAGUAAUACAUCGGAACGUGCCCAAUCGUGGGGGAUAACGUAGCGAAAGUUACGCUAAUACCGCAUACGAUCUACGGAUGAAAGCGGGGGAUCGCAAGACCUCGCGCGAAUGGAGCGGCCGAUGUCAGAUUAGGUAGUUGGUGGGGUAAAGGCUCACCAAGCCAACGAUCUGUAGCUGGUCUGAGAGGACGACCAGCCACACUGGAACUGAGACACGGUCCAGACUCCUACGGGAGGCGGCAGUGGGGAAUUUUGGACAAUGGGCGCAAGCCUGAUCCAGCCAUUCCGCGUGCAGGAUGAAGGCCUUCGGGUUGUAAACUGCUUUGUACGGAACGAAACGGCGAGCUCUAAUACAGUUUGCUAAUGACGGUACCGUAAGAAUAAGCACCGGCUAACUAACGUGCCAGCAGCCGCGGUAAU